ACAUUCAUAUCCGAUUAGUACUUUAUUAAUUAUAGACGUUUUAAUUUCAAGAAAAUAGGCGUGAAAACGGCUAUAAGUGAGAAAUUAUUCAUCGGAUAUGAAUGU